rnacentral:rRNA from 1 species
AGCUGGUGGGGGUCGCAGUGGCCAGGGGGAAGCGACUGUUUACUAAAAACACAGGUCCGUGCGAAGUCGUAAGACGAUGUAUACGGACUGACGCCUGCCCGGUGCCGGAACGUUAAGGGGACCGCUUAGCGCAGCUUGCUGUGCGAAGGUGAGAACUUAAGCGCCGGUAAACGGCGGUGGUAACUAUAACCAUCCUAAGGUAGCGAAAUUCCUUGUCGGGUAAGUUCCGACCUGCACGAAUGGCGUAACGACUUCCCCGCUGUCUCAACCGCAGACCCGGCGAAAUUGCAUUACGAGUAAAGAUGCUCGUUACGCGCAGCAGGACGGAAAGACCCCGGGACCUUCACUACAGCUUGACAUUGGCGUUUGGAGCGUCUUGUGUAGGAUAGGUGGGAGACUGGGAAGCUCGGACGCUAGUUCGGGUGGAGUCAUUGGUGAAAUACCACUCUGGUCGUUUUGAACGUCUAACUCUGGUCCGUGAUCCGGAUCGGGGACAGUGUCUGGUGGGUAGUUUAACUGGGGCGGUUGCCUCCUAAAGGGUAACGGAGGCGCCCAAAGGUUCCCUCAGCCUGGUUGGUAAUCAGGUGUUGAGUGUAAGUGCACAAGGGAGCUUGACUGUGAGACUGACGGGUCGAGCAGGAGCGAAAGCUGGGACUAGUGAUCCGGCAUCGGCGUGUGGAAGCGGUGUCGCUCAACGGCUAAAAGGUACCCCGGGGAUAACAGGCUGAUCUUCCCCAAGAGUCCAUAUCGACGGGAUGGUUUGGCACCUCGAUGUCGGCUCGUCGCAUCCUGGGGCUGGAGUAGGUCCCAAGGGUUGGGCUGUUCGCCCAUUAAAGCGGUACGCGAGCUGGGUUUAGAACGUCGCGAGACAGUUCGGUCCCUAUCCGCUGCGCGCGCAGGAGACUUGAAAGGGGCUGUCCCUAGUACGAGAGGACCGGGACGGACGAACCUCUGGUGUGCCAGUUGUACCGCCAGGUGCACGGCUGGUUGGCUACGUUCGGAAGGGAUAACCGCUGAAAGCAUCUAAGCGGGAAGCUCGCCUUGAGAUGAGGUCUCCCACCACGUGAGUGGGUAAGGCUCCCGGUAGACGACCGGGUUGAUAGGCCGGAGGUGGAAGCACGGUAACGUGUGGAGCUGACCGGUACUAAUAGGCCGAGGACUUGACCAC